rnacentral:rRNA from 1 species
AGCGAACGUUAGCGGCGGGCUUAACACAUGCAAGUCGAACGCGAAAGGGAUUCGUCCCCGGUAGCGUGGCGUCCGGGUGAGUAACACGUAGGAAACCCUUGCCUCGAGAGGGGGAUAACGUCCCGAAAGGGACGCUAAUACCGCAUAAGCCCACGCCGACCCUGGUCGGAGUGGGAAAAGAUGGCCUCUGAAUUCAUGCUAUCGCUCAAGGAUGGUCCUGCGGCGCAUCAGCUAGUUGUGGGUAACGGCCUACCAAGGCGAAGACGCGUAGCUGGUCUGAGAGGAUGAUCAGCCACACUGGCACUGAAACACGGGCCAGACUCCUACGGGAGGCAGCAGUGGGGAAUAUUGGACAAUGGGCGCAAGCCUGAUCCAGCCACGCCGCGUGAGUGAUGAAGGCCUCGGUU